rnacentral:misc_RNA from 1 species
UUGUGGAGGAGGACGCCGAAGGUGGGGCUAAUGACUGGGGUGAAGUCGUAACAAGGUAGCCGUACCGGAAGGUGCGGCUGGAUCACCUCCUAACAGGGAGACAACAAAAUGUUUAAUAUUAUUAUUUUGUCACCUUAGGUCGAUCGGUAUCUCACGUUUUUAAUUUAUUAAGAAUUUCAUUUCCUAAGUUUUUCUAGGUCACACCCAUUAUUUUUCCUGGGCCAUUAGCUCAGGUGGUUAGAGCGCACCCCUGAUAAGGGUGAGGUCCCUGGUUCAAGUCCAGGAUGGCCCAUAUCUCUAUGUUGGGGGUAUAGCUCAGUUGGUAGAGCGCCUGCUUUGCAAGCAGGAUGUCAGCGGUUCGAGUCCGCUUACCUCCACUGAUUACCACCUCUUUCAUAACCGGUAAAAAGGAAAUGUUUUGAGUUGUGAUCAAAUUCUGAAAGAAUCUAGCUUCCUAAUGAAAUCAUUAAGAUGCUGGACUCAUUGAAUUAAUUUCAUUGUUUUCAGAGAACCUUGACAACUGCAUAGAUUAUUUUUAAAGACAAUAAGCAUCUUUAAUGAUGCAGAUUUAUUAUUUGUGCGAAUGCAUUAAUAACAAUUCUAUUAAGCUGAUGCUUCAAUUUUGAAGUUAUUGGUCAAGCUACAA